rnacentral:lncRNA from 1 species
AAAUUACAGAUUAUCAAAAGCACGUUUUCUUUGAGAAAGAUGGCAGCUUAUGAAUUGAUUCUGUAUCAUGUGCGAUUCUUCCUCAGCUUGAAGAAGAAAAAAGGAGACAGAAGAUUGAAAUGUGGGAAAGCAUGCAAGAAGGAAAGAGUUAUAAAGGAAAUACAAGAAAGCCUCAGGAAGAAGACAGCCCUGGGCCUUCUACUUCAUCAGUCAUCCCAAAACGAAAAUCUGACAGAAAGCCUUUGCGAGGAGGAGGUUACAAUCCUUUGUCUGGUGAAGGUGGUGGAACCUGCUCUUGGAGACCUGGACGCAGAGGACCCUCAUCUGGUGGAUGAGGCUAAGAAUCUUGUUAGUGUCACUUUUGACAUUAGCAAGAUGAAUCCUUAACCCUCAACUCAAUUGCCUUACGCAUGCUUUUCACAGUGAUUAGCCAGGGGGAGGGGCCUUCUUUCUGUUCUUAACUACACUGAUGACUUCAAGGAUUGAAGGCAGCACAGGGUGUGGACAUGGCCACUAGGCAGUAGUUGCAGUUAGUCACACUGCACUGAAGCCAGUGACUCUUCAUUGAUUUCACAGGUCCUUGUUAGUUGAUAGCUAAGGGCUUCCAGGUGAUUGGUGAUCUUGAUAAAAGAGACCUGGCAAUGAUCCUUCAAGUUAAGAGGUCCUUACUGGUAGGACUCUGUGACAGCUUGCGUUGAAUGAUGUCUUCCUUGUAAAUGGUGAACCCACCAGCAAGGAUUACUGAUGCAGACAGUUGAUGGGGUUGUUCUGUAAAUAUAUAUAUACAGAACUGUGUUAAAAAAAAAAAGUGUAAAUAUUAAAAAAAAAUGCAGAGAACAUUUUAAGUAUCUUUAUUAAAUUUAAGGAAAUUUCUUUAUGAACCUGAAUUUGUCUGUCUAACAUUAUACAGCUUUGUAUCAUUCACAACCUCCCGUUAAUAAGACUUACUUUCUCUUCUCAUUAUUGCUCACCUUAGUGAGCAUGAAAAGUGGGACAGCUGCAGUGGUUUUCAGAGUUGGAGGGCUCCUGGGGGUUUAUCCACAAAACCGGGCACUUGGAAUUGAGUUUCUGCAUUAGUAGGGCAAAGAAACUCCUUGCCUGUAAGUACCUCAGGGGUCAGUGGGGUUUUUGGAAGCCCUGUGAGUCCUCUGUCUCACGCUCAUUUCUUAUGUCCUUGUCCAGAGCCUCUGUGAAGUAUGUUAUAAAGGGCCAGGUAGUAAAAGAUUUUAGGCUUGGCAGGAGGCACAGUCUUUAUUUUCUAAAUUUUUAAAGGAUUAUUAAAGACAUUUAAAAAUAUUUAGCUCACGGGCUAGAUUUUUCCUGCCGCCUGUAGUUUGCUGAUCCCUGCUUCAUGUCAAGAUCAUGAGAAAGAAUAAUGGG